rnacentral:rRNA from 1 species
GAUGAACGCUAGCUACAGGCUUAACACAUGCAAGUCGAGGGGAAACGAUGAGAGAGCUUGCUCUCUUAGUCGUCGACCGGCGCACGGGUGAGUAACGCGUAUCCAACCUGCCUCUGACCAAGGGAUAACCCGUCGAAAGUCGGACUAAUACCUUAUGCAGUCGUCGGAAGUCAUCUGAUGACGACGAAAGAUUUCAUCGGUGAGAGAUGGGGAUGCGUCUGAUUAGCUUGUUGGCGGGGUAACGGCCCACCAAGGCGACGAUCAGUAGGGGUUCUGAGAGGAAGGUCCCCCACAUUGGAACUGAGACACGGUCCAAACGCCUACGGGAGGCAGCAGUGAGGAAUAUUGGUCAAUGGGCGUAAGCCUGAACCAGCCAAGUAGCGUGCAGGAGGACGGCCCUAUGGGUUGUAAACUGCUUUUAUGCGGGGAUAAAGUGAGGGACGUGGCCUUCAUUGCAGGUACCGAAUGAAUAAGGACCGGCUAAUUCCGUG